rnacentral:rRNA from 1 species
AAAAUCCGUCGUAUAAUCCGAAGACGUGAUGUGGAGCGAAAUAAAGUAGCAAAGCGUGUGAGCCAUGUGCCGAGAAAAGCUGCUAUUGUGUAAUGCGUGCCCGUACCGUAAACCGACACAGGUGGAUGAGGAGAGAAUCCUAAGGCCGACGGAAGAAGCAUUGUUAAGGAAUUCGGCAAAAUGACCCCGUAACUUCGGGAGAAGGGGUGCCUGCGAGAGCAGGCCGCAGAGAAUAGGCUCAAGCAACUGUUUAGCAAAAACACAGGUCUAUGCGAAACCGAAAGGUGAAGUAUAUGGGCUGACGCCUGCCCGGUGCUGGAAGGUUAAGAGGAGAGGUUAGCGUAAGCGAAGCUUUGAAUUUAAGCCCCAGUAAACGGCGGCCGUAACCAUAACGGUCCUAAGGUAGCGAAAUUCCUUGUCGGGUAAGUUCCGACCCGCACGAAAGGCGUAAUGAUUUGAGCACUGUCUCGACAAUGCAUCCGGUGAAAUUGAAGUACCAGUGAAGAUGCUGGUUACCCGCGCCAGGACGGAAAGACCCCAUGGAGCUUUACUCCAGUUUGAUACUGGGAUUCGGUACUGCAUGUACAGGAUAGGUGGGAGACGAAGAAGGAUGGACGCCAGUCUGUCCGGAGUCGCUGUUGGGAUACCACCCCUGUAGUACUGGGUUUCUAACCAGUUGCCAUGAACUGGCAAUGGGACAAUGUCAGGCGGGGAGUUUGACUGGGGCGGUCGCCUCCGAAAGGGUAUCGGAGGCGCUCAAAGGUUCCCUCAGAAUGGUUGGAAACCAUUUGAAGAGUGCAAAGGCAGAAGGGAGCUUAAUUGCGACACCGACGGGUGGAGCAGGUACGAAAGUAGGACUUAGUGAUCCGGUGGUAUAAAGUGGGAUUGCCAUCGCUCAACGGAUAAAAGCUACCCUGGGAUAACAGGCUUAUCACUCCCAAGAGUUCACAUCGACGGAGUGGUUUGGCACCUCGAUGUCGGCUCAUCGCAUCCUGGGGCUGUAGCAGGUCCCAGGGUUGGGCUGUUCGCCCAUUAAAGCGGUACGCGAGCUGGGUUCAGAACGUCGUGAGACAGUUCGGUCCCUAUCCGGCGCGGGCGGAGGAUAUUUGAGAGGAGCUGUCCUUAGUACGAGAGGACCGGGAUGGACGGACCACUGGUGUAUCUGUUGUCGACCAACGGCAUGGCAGAGUAGCCAAGUCUGGAAGGGAUAAACGCUGAAGGCAUCUAAGCGUGAAGCCCCCCUCAAGAUGAGAUAUCCCUCCUUCGGGAGUAAGACCCCUUGAAGACUACAAGGUAGAUAGGGCAGAGGUGGAAGCAUGGCAACAUGUGGAGCUGACUGUUACUAAUAGGUCGAGGGCUUAAU